UACGUAGGUGGCGAGCGUUGUCCGGAUUUACUGGGCGUAAAGCGCGUGCAGGUGGUUUGUUAAGUCCGGUGUGAAAGCUCCCGGCUCAACUGGGAGAGGUCAUCGGAUACUGGCAGACUUGAGGGAGGCAGAGGUCGGUGGAAUUCCGGUGUAGUGGUGAAAUACGUAGAGAUCGGGAGGAACACCAGUGGCGAAAGCGGCCGACUGGGCCUUACCUGACGCUGAGACGCGAAAGCGUGGGGAGCGAACCGG
rnacentral:rRNA from 1 species